rnacentral:rRNA from 1 species
UCAUGUAUCCAUACGCCAAUCCAUAACGUAUGGAGGGGAACCCGGGGAACUGAAACAUCUAAGUACCCGGAGGAAAAGAAAGAAAACUCGAUUCCGUAAGUAGCGGCGAGCGAACGCGGAAGAGCCUAAACCGGUGUGCGUGCACACCGGGGUUACGGACUGCAUUUAAGAUUCUGCAAUGUUAGUGGAACGGUUUUGGGAAAGCCGGCCGGAGAGGGUGAAAGCCCCGUAGACGAAAACAGAGCAGACUGAGCAGGAUCCAGAGUACCGCGGGACACGAGAAACCCUGCGGGAAGUGAGGGGGACCACCCCCUAAGGCUAAAUACCACUUAGUGACCGAUAGCGCAUAGUACUGUGAAGGAAAGGUGAAAAGGACCCCGGGAGGGGAGUGAAAGAGAACCUGAAACCCUGUGUCUACAAGCUGUGGGAGUGCUUUAUAUGCACGACCGCGUACUUUUUGUAGAACGGUCCGGCGAGUUGCGCUCACUGGCAAGGUUAAGCACCGAAGGUGCGGAGCCGUAGGGAAACCAAGUCUUAAGAGGGCCAGAGUCAGUGGGGGCAGACCCGAAACCGGGUGAUCUAUCCAUGUCCAGGUUGAAGCUGCCGUAAGAGGCAGUGGAGGACCGAACCCACAUCCGUUGAAAAGGGUGGGGAUGAGGUGUGGAUAGGGGAGAAAUUCCAAUCGAACCCGGAGAUAGCUGGUUCUCCUCGAAAUAGCUUUAGGGCUAGCCUUGGUAGAGAUUUGCGGAGGUAGAGCACUGAAUUUCCUAGGGGGCGUCAAAGCCUACCGAAGAAUAUCAAACUCCGAAUGCCGUGUAAUUGCUUACCAGGAGUCAGACUGCACGAGAUAAGUUGGGCAGUCAAAAGGGAAAGAGCCCAGACCUUCAGUUAAGGUCCCAAAGUGUGCGUUAAGUGGAAAAGGAUGUGGGAUUUCGAAGACAACCAGGAUGUUGGCUCAGAAGCAGCCAUUCAUUCAAAGAGUGCGUAAUAGCUCACUGGUCGAGAGGUCCUGCGCCGAAAAUGUCCGGGGCUGAAACGCACCACCGAAACUAAGGGAUCCGUAAGGAUCGGUAGAGGAGCAUUGCAUGUGGGAUGAAGCAGUACCGUAAGGAGCUGUGGACUGCAUGGAAGAGAGAAUGCCGGAAUGAGUAGCGAGAUAGAGGUGGGAAUCCUCUAGGCCGAAUAUCCAAGGUUUCCAGGGUAAAGCUGAUCUGCCCUGGGUAAGUCGGGGCCUAAGGUGAGGACGAGAGUCGUAGCCGAUGGACAACAGGUGGAGAUUCCUGUACUAUGAUAUGACAGAACUGUGGGGACACGUGCAGAGAGCGGAAGCCGGGAAUGGGAUCCCGGUGCAAGCGAGGUACCAGCCGCAUUGGAAAAACCGUGCGGCAAUGGGAAGACGUGAUGCGGAGUGAAGUUUAGUAAUGAAGUCCGUGAGCUGUGCGUCAAGAAAAGCCGCUAUUGUUCAUACCAUACCCGUACCGUAAACCGACACAGGUGGAUGAGGAGAGAAUCCUAAGGCCGGCGGAAGAAGCAUUGUCAAGGAACUCGGCAAAAUGACCCCGUAACUUCGGGAGAAGGGGUGCCUGCGAGAGCAGGCCGCAGAGAAUAGGCUCAAGCAACUGUUUAGCAAAAACACAGGUCUAUGCGAAACCGAAAGGUGAGGUAUAUGGGCUGACGCCUGCCCGGUGCUGGAAGGUUAAGAGGAGAGGUUAGCGCAAGCGAAGCUUUGAAUUUAAGCCCCAGUAAACGGCGGCCGUAACUAUAACGGUCCUAAGGUAGCGAAAUUCCUUGUCGGGUAAGUUCCGACCCGCACGAAAGGCGUAAUGAUUUGAGCGCUGUCUCGACAAUGCAUCCGGUGAAAUUGAAGUACCAGUGAAGAUGCUGGUUACCUGC